rnacentral:rRNA from 1 species
AUACGUAGGGGGCGAGCGUUGUCCGGAAUGAUUGGGCGUAAAGGGCGCGUAGGCGGCCCGGUAAGUCUGGAGUGAAAGUCCUGCUUUUAAGGUGGGAAUUGCUUUGGAUACUGUCGGGCUUGAGUGCAGGAGAGGUAAGUGGAAUUCCCAGUGUAGCGGUGAAAUGCGGAGAGAUUGGGAGGAACACCAGUGGCGAAGGCGACUUACUGGACUGUAACUGACGCUGAGGCGCGAAAGUGUGGGGAGCAAACAGGAUUAGAUACCCUGGUAGUCCACACUGUAAACGAUGAAUGCUAGGUGUAGGGGGUAUCGACCCCUUCUGUGCCGCAGUUAACACAAUAAGCAUUCCGCCUGGGGAGUACGGCCGCAAGGUUGAAACUCAAAGGAAUUGACGGGG